rnacentral:rRNA from 1 species
UGGGUGUGUAAGCGUAGCGAUACGUUGAGCUAACCAGUACUAAUGAACCGUGAGGCUUAACCUUACAACGCCGAAG